UACGAAGGGGGCUAGCGUUGCUCGGAAUGACUGGGCGUAAAGGGCGCGUAGGCGGAUUGUACAGUCAGGCGUGAAAUUCCCGGGCUCAACCUGGGGGCUGCGCUUGAGACGUGCGAUCUUGAGUGGGGAAGAGGGUCGUGGAAUUCCCAGUGUAGAGGUGAAAUUCGUAGAUAUUGGGAAGGACACCGGUGGCGAAGGCGGCGACCUGGUCCUUGACUGACGCUGAGGCGCGAAAGCGUGGGGAGCAAACAGG
rnacentral:rRNA from 1 species